rnacentral:rRNA from 1 species
GACGUAGGGCGCGAGCGUUGUCCGGAUUUAUUGGGCGUAAAGAGCUCGUAGGCGGUCUGUCGCGUCGGCUGUGAAAACCUAGGGCUCAACCCUGGGCUUGCAGCCGAUACGGGCAGACUAGAAUUCGGUAGGGGAGACUGGAAUUCCUGGUGUAGCGGUGAAAUGCGUUGAUAUCAUCAGGAACACCGGAGGCGAAGGCGGCUCACUGGGUCUUUUCUGACGCUGAGGGACGAAAGCUAGGGGAGCGAACGGG